rnacentral:rRNA from 1 species
UACGGGGGGGGCAAGCGUUGUUCGGAAUUACUGGGCGUAAAGGGCUCGUAGGGGGCCAACUAAGUCAGACGUGAAAUCCCUCGGCUUAACCGGGGAACUGCGUCUGAUACUGGAUGGCUUGAGUUCGGGAGAGGGAUGCGGAAUUCCAGGUGUAGCGGUGAAAUGCGUAGAUAUUGGGAGGAACACCAGUGGCGAAGGCGGCUCACUGGACCGGUACUGACGCUGAGGCGCGAAAGCGUGGGGAGCAAACAGG